rnacentral:rRNA from 1 species
AAACCGUUCAGGGGUAAACCUGUGAAAYCCAAAAGAUCGAAUGGGGAGAAUCCUCGGUUACUAAAUUACACUUGCUUGCAUUAUUUUUGCGGUAUGGCGUGCACUUCUCCUCUAGUAGAACUCAACCCGUUAGAUGUUUAUCUAUGGCUUGGAUGGUAGCUGGAUAUUUAUUAUAUCUAAGACCUUCGAUGUCCUGAUAAACUGUUUGACGGUAAUCAUAUGAUAUUGAGCCGCAAAUAUUUGCGUUAGACUUAUCGCAAGCAUGACUUUACUNCUAGUAGUGCGGAUUUAAUGCCGUCGCUGGACAAGGUCAGCUGUUGGCUGUGUAAUGUCUUUAACUGGAAUUAUCGGUGCGAUGCU